AGCUGUUUGGGUUGGGUUGCUUGAAAGAUAUCUUAUUAUGCGGUGUGCCGGAUUGAUUUCAAUGUAAAUAUAUAACGAUUCGUGCUGCUACUGCAUUGUGGUUAUAAUUUUUAUGGAUAUACAACCUAUGACAGAUUAACAUUAGAUUUACAAUUCAAGUUCCAUAUCUUGUGAAUAAAUUAUUACUAUUGUUUUGCUGUUUGAAUAUCACAAAAACAAGCCUUAAAAUUACUAUUGUUUUGCUGUUAUAAUUUUUAUAGAUAUACAACCUAUGACAAAUUAACAUUAGAUUUACAAUUCAAGUUCCAUAUCUUGUGAAUAAAUUAUUACUAUUGUUUUGCUGUUUGAAUAUCACAAAAUGAAGCCUUAAAAUUACUAUUGUUUUGCUGUUAUAAUUUUUUAUAGAUAUACAACCUAUGACAGAUUAAU
rnacentral:lncRNA from 1 species